CUCCUUACCAGUUGGUGGCGAUAAUGCACCAGCUCGUUGUUUGCCAACCGCCAAUAAACCCUAGAAGAAGAAGCGGAAACACGACUCCCGUACUCUAGUGGUCAAACACUGUAUUAGUUUCACUUUUGAGGAUCAGACUUUCUACCUGAAAAGUCCCUCAGACCCACACUGAAGGAGGGACUCGAGACAUUAUCAUCACAGAUGUCAGAGAUAUCAGAGAUGUGGGCUCUUUUGACCAGUAAACAACCACCCACUCAGAGCACACUAGCAUAGGUGGCUUUACAGAGCUGGAAAUGGAGCAGGAACGGAUAUCUUGAGCAGUCCUCAUGUAUUUGUGUCUGAUCUUUACCAUUAUUGGUGGAAACUUAAGAUGCAGAAGAUCCCGACGGCAGCAACAAUCAACAGAGAUCCAGCAGCAGCAGCAGCAGCAGAAAUCAACACUAUCAGAGAGACUGAGACUGGAGGAACUGAAGGAGAGGAAAAGAGAGACAGUCAUUAAUCAUUGGGGGAAUUGGUGAUCCUCUGCCCAUCUUGACUUCUGAGAGACACUGCCACUCUGAGAGGUUCUUUUUAUACCCUCAUUUUAUCAUGUUGCCAAUUGACCUAAUAAGUUUCAAAUUGGUCCUCCAGCUGUUCCUUAUAUGUACAUUUCAUUUUCCGGCCUCUUAUUGCUACCUGUCCCAACUUUUUUGGAACGUGUAGCUCUCAUGAAAUCCAAAAUGAGCCAAUAUUUGGCAUGACAUUUCAAAAUGUCUCACUUUCAACAUUUGAUAUGUUAUAUAGAUUCUAUUGUGAAUAAAAUAUAAGUUUAUGAGAUUUGUAAAUUAUUGCAUUCCUUUUUUAUUCACAAUUUGUACAGUGUCCCAACUUUUUUGGAAUCGGGUUUGUACAUUUUACAAACUUUUCUGGAAUUGGGGUUGUAGAAAAAUAUUGUAUGAAUUGUGUAUGAACUACAUUUCAUGGUGAAAUGAAGCAUAACUCUAGUGAUUUUAAAAUUGCUUAUUUAUUCUAAAUUUGGAAAAAAGUACACAGUUAACCCUCAUAUGGCCCUCAUUUCCCCUAUACUCUCAGGUUCUUUGGGGUCAAUUCGGACCCCACACAUUUACAGAGCAAUUGUGUAAAAAAUAUUUUUUUAAAAAUUAAUACAAAUGACUAUAUUAAUGAUGAUCAAAAUUCAAAAUUCAGUUAUUUCUGGAAAUUGAUCUAGGAUUUGCAUGCAGAAUUCUGCCAUCUGCUGGUUAGAAAAAAAAUGUUGGCACUGAAGUUUUAGAACUCAAAUGUUUUGACCAUAUAUAUCCAGCAGAGGGCCAUAGAGAGCCAUUCAUUUUUCUGGAUUUGGCCAACUCGUCAAACCAAAUGUAAAACAUUACUGACUUUAGAAUAAAAAAAUGUAAAUAAAUUCAAUAGCAAUAAGUAGAAAUGAACUGAAGUUGUGUGUGUGUUUUUGUGUGGAUGCAAAAGUGUGUGUGUGUGUGUGUACUUGUUUUGACUAUACUUGUAAGGAUCAAAUGUCCAUUUUUUUUACAACCCACUAGCGAGGACCCUGACUGGUCCUCACUCAUUAAAAAGGCUUAUAAAUCAGCCAAAGGAAGGUUUUUAUUUAAAUCUAGUGAUGUGCACAUGCUUCUGUGAUGGAUGGAAGAUUCAGCUUCAUUCACACAGAGCCAUUCAGAACGGUUUCCACUGUCACUUCCGGGGUUUUCUCAGGCCCAAAGGCCAGGGUUUUACUUUGGUCCAAAGUGGGCCAGCUCAGGCUUGAGGAUUGGCCAUGAACAGAGGUGGAAUUUACCUGAGUCAGGUGAUGGUCAGCACCGCUGCAUAGCUUCCUUGUGAUCCGAUGGGGAUUCUGAUCACCGUAUGAGGCAGAAAUAGACUUAUAUGCAAUGCUAAAGGCCACUUAUGCUAAUCAUCAUGAUGAAUACACACGUAUAUGGAAAAUACCAGAAACUGCUUGAGGAACAUAGACAACUCAUAUAUUAUUAUAAUGGUGUAUUUAUUUGAUUUAAUGUUGUAUCUGUCUCUUUCUUGUGCGUUUGUUGAUACCGACUAAUACAUCCGCAUAUCUGUCACACACUCCGGUUAACUCGUAUAACUCAUAACUCCUGUUUUCUUCUCAUGAGCUCCCUCUGUUGCUCUGGCUGAAAGGACAACAGUAUAGAGAGACAGAGAGAUCGCUCAAACCUCCUCAGAUUGCAAUCAUCGCAUAAUUUCAAGGAAAAUUAAUAGAAAUGUUAAAGGUGCUGUAAGUAUUAUUUUAACAACGCUGUUAGACAUUGUUGAUAUUUGAAAUCAACCCAAACAAACCCACCCCUCUCUUCAUUGCUCCGCCUCCAAAACUCAGUCUUAAAGGAACACUCCACUUUUUUUGAAAAUAGACUCAUUUUCCAACUCCCCUAGAGUUAAACAGUUGAGUUUUACUGUUUUCGAAUCCAUUCAGCCGAUCUCCGGGUCUUGCGGUACCACUUUUAGCAUAGCUUAGCAUAGUUCAUUGAAUCUGAUUAGACCGUUAGCAUCUCGCUUAAAAAUGACCAAAGAGUUUCUAUAUUUUUCCUAUUUAAAACUUGACUCUUCUGUAGUUACAUCGUGUACUAAGACUGACGGAAAAUGAAAAGUCGCGAUUUUCUAGGCCAAUAUGGCUAGGAACUAUAUAGGAACUAGCAAAGUUACUUGAUUAUUACGCCGGAAUGAGAGUAUAUUUCCUAGCCAUAUCGGCCUAGAAAAUCGCAACUUUUCAUUUUCAGGAGCAUGCCCACAUGUUGUUGUGAGUGCAUACAGGCACGUGGGGUCCGUACACACUACGAGUUGCUGUAAUGAACUUCAUGCAAGUUGGAUCAGCCAACUGCAUUUUUAAAGUAACUUCCAAAAACAAUGUUGACAGUAACAGACACAAACUUUUCUAUUAGAAGGUGCUAUUUCCUCCAAUAAAUGCUCCAGGGGGCAUUUUACUCAAACCUUAUUAAAUAUGCAUCAUCUAUUAAAAAAAUCAAAAAGUUUUAAAGGUUACCACAAGUUACCACAUGUUUUAGGGCUAGACGAUAUAUUUAACAUUGAUAUAAGUCUUCACUCCUAUUUAGACCUACCUAUAUUGUAGUUAUAUAAAGUGUUCAGAGGCAGAUUUGCUUUAUGUAUUUCCCCGGCGUGGAAAGCAGGCACAUAUGUCAGGAAACACGAUUCCUGGCUGCAUGUCAAGAUCCAUGGAUUAUGUUUCUUUGAUAUGUUAUAAGGAACAUUUUCGAGCCCAACCUUUAAUGUAAUAGUUUGUUUUACUCGCGUUUUCACAUUUUCCCCUAUUAAAUCCACAAUGCGUUCCAAACGGGUUAUAUCGCCCUCCGAAGGGCACUUUGGAGUGAACAUAAUCAUGGCCGCCAUAUUGAAGGGUCGUUCCAAACCGAAGUGCCCAAAACUGGCCACUUCAAAGAGCCCUUCUGAAUGAAGGAUUUCGAAGGGAACAACUGAUGGACACUUCGGGCCCCCAUGAUCCUUUGCACAGGGAAGUUGUUUGACGUCACAGAAUGGGUACAGGAGGCUUGGAGUUCGAUUUUACCUAUAAAUGUAUGUAUAGUAUUUUUCUAUACUACUGUAAUAUUUAUACGAGUUAGAUUUGGCACAUAAUUAUGGUCAAAACGACAUUGUACUUAAACAAAAAUACUUUAAAGCUCCCUUUAUCAGUCCAUUUAAAUGUUUAAAAUACAUAGACACAAUAUACAAUAUGGUGAUAAACCAAAAAUAAAAUUAAAUAAUGAAAUAAACUAACAUUAAACAAAGGGCGCAUCUUGCACAAUCUACUCCUCCUUGAUUGUCUCGUUAAGAUGACACAGAAGUGUGUUCCAAAAAUAGAGUUUUUUUGACCCCUACACCCUUCAUCCCUUCGAAGCUCUCACUCCGGAGGGUAAACCCUUUUAAGGGAUUAGGGCAUAGGGAUGAGUACUUCCGAAUGGAACGCAAUGCCAGUCAUGCUGCAGGUUCUUUUGCCACUCAGUCCAGCUGAGGGAGCGUGUUCCAUCGGGAAAGUGACGUCGAUGCAUACCCUCCUUGCAAAGGCAAACCUCUCGCGUUUCAGGGGAGCUCCAAGAUGGCGCCAUGGAUGGUCUUGAUUCUCUAAGCUGAGAAACAAAUCGGGUUUUCUCACAAAUGAUUAUAUAAAUUUCAUGAAGUUGCUAACUAUUAUCUAAAGGUUGCUACUGACUGUUGAAUUUAAGUAAAUAUUGACCUUGGAGCAUCGACAAGGAUUUUAAAUCACAAAAUCAACCGUUUCGCUGUACAGUUCAAAAACAUGGAUGAGGAUCUUGGCGCAGAGAUGGAGAUUGACACUACGAAAGAGAAGAGAAAUUUUAACGAUACUCACUCGUAUGCCUGUAAAGUAAAAAACGGAGGAAUUUGUGAUUCUUGUCCAAAUACAAGCAAAAAUCAACCUCCCAAAAGGCAAAAAAGUGUUGUCGUCUCAUCUAACAAACAAAGUGAACUGUCUUUGAGUGACGUGCAGGAGAAUAUCAUCCGAAUUCUCUCUGAAAAGAUUAAUGAGAGAUCCGACCAGAUUGAAAGAAUGGUUUAGGAGAAUUCUUCCAACAUUGAGGCCUUGGGCAAAUCUCUUACCUCAGUUCAUGAUGA